UUAAGCGACUAAGCGUACACGGUGGAUGCCCUGGCAGUCAGAGGCGAUGAAGGACGUGCUAAUCUGCGAAAAGCGUCGGUAAGGUGAUAUGAACCGUUAUAACCGGCGAUGUCCGAAUGGGGAAACCCAGUGCAAUUCGUUGCACUAUCGUUAACUGAAUACAUAGGUUAACGAGGCGAACCGGGGGAACUGAAACAUCUAAGUACCCCGAGGAAAAGAAAUCAACCGAGAUUCCCCCAGUAGCGGCGAGCGAACGGGGAGCAGCCCAGAGUCUGAAUCAGCUUGUGUGUUAGUGGAACGGUCUGGAAAGUCCGACGGUACAGGGUGAUAGUCCCGUACACCAAAAUGCACAGGUUGUGAACUCGAAGAGUAGGGCGGGACACGUGGUAUCCUGUCUGAAUAUGGGGGGACCAUCCUCCAAGGCUAAAUACUCCUGACUGACCGAUAGUGAACCAGUACCGUGAGGGAAAGGCGAAAAGAACCCCGGCGAGGGGAGUGAAAAAGAACCUGAAACCGUGUACGUACAAGCAGUGGGAGCACCUUCGGGUGUGACUGCGUACCUUUUGUAUAAUGGGUCAGCGACUUAUAUUCUGUAGCAAGGUUAACCGUAUAGGGGAGCCGCAGGGAAACCGAGUCUUAACUGGGCGUUAAGUUGCAGGGUAUAGACCCGAAACCCGGUGAUCUAGCCAUGGGCAGGUUGAAGGUUGGGUAACACUAACUGGAGGACCGAACCGACUAAUGUUGAAAAAUUAGCGGAUGACUUGUGGCUGGGGGUGAAAGGCCAAUCAAACCGGGAGAUAGCUGGUUCUCCCCGAAAGCUAUUUAGGUAGCGCCUCGUGAACUCAUCUUCGGGGGUAGAGCACUGUUUCGGCUAGGGGGUCAUCCCGACUUACCAACCCGAUGCAAACUACGAAUACCGAAGAAUGUUAUCACGGGAGACACACGGCGGGUGCUAACGUCCGUCGUGAAGAGGGAAACAACCCAGACCGCCAGCUAAGGUCCCAAAGUCAUGGUUAAGUGGGAAACGAUGUGGGAAGGCACAGACAGCCAGGAUGUUGGCUUAGAAGCAGCCAUCAUUUAAAGAAAGCGUAAUAGCUCACUGGUCGAGUCGGCCUGCGCGGAAGAUGUAACGGGGCUAAACCAUGCACCGAAGCUGCGGCAGCGACACUAUGUGUUGUUGGGUAGGGGAGCGUUCUGUAAGCCUGCGAAGGUGUGCUGUGAGGCAUGCUGGAGGUAUCAGAAGUGCGAAUGCUGACAUAAGUAACGAUAAAGCGGGUGAAAAGCCCGCUCGCCGGAAGACCAAGGGUUCCUGUCCAACGUUAAUCGGGGCAGGGUGAGUCGACCCCUAAGGCGAGGCCGAAAGGCGUAGUCGAUGGGAAACAGGUUAAUAUUCCUGUACUUGGUGUUACUGCGAAGGGGGGACGGAGAAGGCUAUGUUAGCCGGGCGACGGUUGUCCCGGUUUAAGCAUGUAGGCUGGUUGUCCAGGCAAAUCCGGAUAAUCAAGGCUGAGGUGUGAUGACGAGGCACUACGGUGCUGAAGUAACAAAUGCCCUGCUUCCAGGAAAAGCCUCUAAGCAUCAGGUAACAUUAAAUCGUACCCCAAACCGACACAGGUGGUCAGGUAGAGAAUACCAAGGCGCUUGAGAGAACUCGGGUGAAGGAACUAGGCAAAAUGGUGCCGUAACUUCGGGAGAAGGCACGCUGGUGUGUAGGUGAAGUCCCUGCGGAUGGAGCUGAGACCAGUCGAAGAUACCAGCUGGCUGCAACUGUUUAUUAAAAACACAGCACUGUGCAAACACGAAAGUGGACGUAUACGGUGUGACGCCUGCCCGGUGCCGGAAGGUUAAUUGAUGGGGUUAUCCGUAAGGAGAAGCUCUUGAUCGAAGCCCCGGUAAACGGCGGCCGUAACUAUAACGGUCCUAAGGUAGCGAAAUUCCUUGUCGGGUAAGUUCCGACCUGCACGAAUGGCGUAAUGAUGGCCAGGCUGUCUCCACCCGAGACUCAGUGAAAUUGAACUCGCUGUGAAGAUGCAGUGUACCCGCGGCAAGACGGAAAGACCCCGUGAACCUUUACUAUAGCUUGACACUGAACAUUGAGCCUUGAUGUGUAGGAUAGGUGGGAGGCUUUGAAGCGUGGACGCCAGUCUGCGUGGAGCCAACCUUGAAAUACCACCCUUUAAUGUUUGAUGUUCUAACGUUGGCCCCUGACCGGGGUUGCGGACAGUGUCUGGUGGGUAGUUUGACUGGGGCGGUCUCCUCCCAAAGCGUAACGGAGGAGCACGAAGGUUAGCUAAUCCUGGUCGGACAUCAGGAGGUUAGUGCAAUGGCAUAAGCUAGCUUGACUGCGAGCGUGACGGCGCGAGCAGGUGCGAAAGCAGGUCAUAGUGAUCCGGUGGUUCUGAAUGGAAGGGCCAUCGCUCAACGGAUAAAAGGUACUCCGGGGAUAACAGGCUGAUACCGCCCAAGAGUUCAUAUCGACGGCGGUGUUUGGCACCUCGAUGUCGGCUCAUCACAUCCUGGGGCUGAAGUAGGUCCCAAGGGUAUGGCUGUUCGCCAUUUAAAGUGGUACGCGAGCUGGGUUUAGAACGUCGUGAGACAGUUCGGUCCCUAUCUGCCGUGGGCGCUGGAGAAUUGAGGGGGGCUGCUCCUAGUACGAGAGGACCGGAGUGGACGCAUCACUGGUGUUCGGGUUGUCAUGCCAAUGGCACUGCCCGGUAGCUAAAUGCGGAAGAGAUAAGUGCUGAAAGCAUCUAAGCACGAAACUUGCCCCGAGAUGAGUUCUCCCUGAGACUUUAAGUCUCCUGAAGGAACGUUGAAGACGACGACGUUGAUAGGCCGGGUGUGUAAGCGCAGCGAUGCGUUGAGCUAACCGGUACUAAUGAACCGUGAGGCUUAACCUU
rnacentral:rRNA from 1 species